rnacentral:rRNA from 1 species
AGAGUUUGAUCCUGGCUCAGGAUGAACGCUAGCGGCAGGCUUAACACAUGCAAGUCGAGGGCAGCAUGAAGGUUAGCAAUAACCUUUGAUGGCGACCGGCGCAAGGGUGCGUAACGCGUGGCAACUUGCCCGUUUCUGGGGAAUAACCGGUGGAAACGCCGACUAAUACCCCAUGGCAUUAUUUCAGGCAUCUGUUAUCAAUUAAAGAAUUUCGGAAACGGAUAGGCUCGCGUGACAUUACUAGAUGGCGGGGUAACGGCCCACCAUGGCGACGAUGUCUAGGGGUUCUGAGAGGAAGGUCCCCACACUGGAACUGAGACACGGUCCAGACUCCUACGGGAGGCAGCAGUGAGGAAUAUUGUCAAUGGUCUGACGACUGAACCAGCCAUGCCGCGUGAAGGUGACGGCCCUAUGGGUCUUAACUUCUUUUGCAAGGGAGCAAUAAGGUCUACGUGUAGAUCGAUGAGAGUACCUUGCGAAAAGCAUCGGCUAACUCCGUGCCAGCAGCCGCGGUAAUACGGGGGAUGCAAGCGUUAUCCGAUUUAUUGGGUUUAAAGGGUGCGUAGGCGGUUUCUUAAGUCAGCGGUGAAAUUUAGGGGCCAACCUCUACCGUGCCGUUGAUACUGGGGAGGCUUGAAUGCGGAUGCCGUGGGAGGAAUGGUGGUGUAGCGGUGAAAUGCAUAGAUAUCACACAGAACACCGAUUGCGAAGGCAUCUCACAAUCCGCUAUUGACGCUGAUGCACGAAAGCGUGGGGAUCAACAGGAUUAGAUACCCUGGUGUCCACGCUGUAAACGAUG